rnacentral:rRNA from 1 species
UUACGGUCAAAUCACGCUGAAAACACCGGUUCUCGUUCGAUCACCGAAGUUAAGCAUCGUAGAGCCAGGUCAGUACUUAGAUGGGGACCGCUUGG